rnacentral:rRNA from 1 species
UACGGGGGGGGCAAGCGUUGUUCGGAAUUACUGGGCGUAAAGGGCUCGUAGGCGGCCAACUAAGUCAUACGUGAAAUCCCUCGGCUUAACCGGGGAACUGCGUCUGAUACUGGAUGGCUUGAGAUUGGGAGAGGGAUGCGGAAUUCCAGGUGUAGCGGUGAAAUGCGUAGAUAUCUGGAGGAACACCGGUGGCGAAGGCGGCAUCCUGGACCAACACUGACGCUGAGGCGCGAAAGCUAGGGGAGCAAACAGG